rnacentral:rRNA from 1 species
CGGGGUGCAGCAGGCGCGAAAACUUUACAAUGCCGGCAGCGGCGAUAAGGGAACCUCGAGUGCCAGGUUACAAAUCUGGCUGUCGUGAUGCCUAAAAAGCAUUGCAUAGCAAGGGCCGGGCAAGACCGGUGCCAGCCGCCGCGGUAACACCGGCGGCUCGAGUGGUAACCGUUAUUAUUGGGUCUAAAGGGUCUGUAGCCGGCCGGGUAAGUCUCUUGGGAAAUCUGGUAGCUUAACUGUCAGGCUUUCAGGAGAUACUGCCUGGCUCGAGGCCGGGAGAGGUGAGAGGUACUUCAGGGGUAGGGGUGAAAUCUUGUAAUCCUUGAAGGACCACCAGUGGCGAAGGCGUCUCACCAGAACGGACCUGACGGCAAGGGACGAAAGCUAGGGGCACGAACCGGAUUAGAUACCCGGGUAGUCCUAGCCGUAAACGAUACUCGCUAGGUGUCGGCCACGGUGCGACCGUGGUCGGUGCCGUAGGGAAGCCGUGAAGCGAGCCACCUGGGAAGUACGGCCGCAAGGCUGAAACUUAAAGGAAUUGGCGGG